rnacentral:rRNA from 1 species
CAGUAGCCGCGGGAAUACGAAGGGGGCUAGCGUUGUUCGGAAUCACUGGGCGUAAAGCGCACGUAGGCGGAUCUUUAAGUCAGGGGUGAAAUCCCGAGGCUCAACCUCGGAACUGCCUUUGAUACUGGGGACCUCGAGUCCGGAAGAGGUAAGUGGAACUGCGAGUGUAGAGGUGAAAUUCGUAGAUAUUCGCAAGAACACCAGUGGCGAAGGCGGCUUACUGGUCCGGAACUGACGCUGAGGUGCGAAAGCGUGGGGAGCAAACAGGAUUAGAUACCCCCGUAGUCCAUGUCUCUUAUAC